rnacentral:rRNA from 1 species
GAUGAACGCUGGCGGCGUGCCUAAUACAUGCAAGUCGAGCGGUAACACUUCGGGUGACGAGCGGCGGACGGCUGAGUAACACGUAGGAACGUACCCCAAACUGAGGGAUAAGCACCGGAAACGGUGUCUAAUACCGCAUGUGGUCUUCGGAUUAAAGCUUCGGCGGUUUGGGAACGGCCUGCGCAUGAUUAGCUUGUUGGUGAGGUAAAAGCUCACCAAGGCGACGAUCAUUAGCUGGUCUGAGAGGAUGAUCAGCCAGACUGGGACUGAGACACGGCCCAGACUCCGACGGGAGGCAGCAGUAGGGAAUUUUCCACAAUGGGCGAAAGCCGGAUGGAGCAACGCCGCGUGCAGGAUGGAUGCCUUCGGGUUGUAAACUGCUUUUAUUGGUGACGAUUAUGCCGGUAGCCAAUGAAUAAGGAUCGGCUAACUCCGUGCCAGCCGCCGCAGUAA